AAUGUAUUUAGUUUACAAAUUUUAAGUGAUGCAAUAAUCAAGUGAAUAAUAUUUUUCAUUAAAUUUAAUUUGUGUUUUAUUUUCUCUCUAUAGUGAUCACCAAUUCGGAAUGAAAAUAGUUAAAUUUGAUGGCUUGCUGUGCGAUUCUGUUAUGUCUUAACCUAUAACAAUGACAAUAUUCUACAUUAAAUUUAAAAUACCCAUGAAUUCCAAACAUUCUUUUUAUCCAGUUACUAUUAACAAACAAUAUCAUAUCAUGUGUGUGGGACUCAGCUUUGAUUUUGAAAUUUGUUAAAUUACAUAUAUAGACUUUUUGAAUAGUUUUACAUAAGCUCUACAUUUUAAAUUUCAACCCAAGACCAUUACACACCAAAGAAGAAGUCACCAUUACAUAUUUUUGAAUAGUUUUACAUAAGCUCUACAUUUUAAAUUUCAACCCAAGACCAUUACACACCAAAGAAGAAGUCACCAUUACACCAUGAGACAAACGGAUAUAUAUAUCAUUUUUUUAAGGCUAACGCUAUAAAAAUUUGUGUCAACUAGUAUCUCCUUCGUAAGGAUUCCAAGUAAAAUGUUGUGCAAAUAAAGUGCAGAUGCAAUGACAAGAUAUCAUCAAAACUAGAAACCGUUUAAAAGUAAAGACAACAAUCUGAUAUGUUCAAUCAAUUUACUGGAAAAGGGAGCACAUUAUUUUCAAUAACGAUAGGAAGAAUUCGACAAUACCAUGCAGUAGUAUUCUAUUAAAAGAAUUGAAAAAGGAAUUAAAAAAUACAUUGUAAUAAGAAUACUUUUCUUGUACAAAAUGUGUAUUACAAAGCCUUGUACCAGAGAUGCCAUGUAAAUCAUUAUGCAAAAAGAAUGCAGCAGCAGUGAAAAGAAUCUGUUAAAAGGCAAACAUUAUUAUCUUGUAGUGUUCAUUUAAUUUAAUUAAAGAGAGAGCGUAUGAUUAUUUACUACGAUAUUCAGAAUCCAACAACACUGUCAUCAUGAAAAAUUUUGGAAGACGCUAAGGAAAGUUUCCCGUUCUCACCCUGGAAAGAWACCAUGUUUUAUAAUAUUCUAUGAAAAGAAUUGAAGAAGAAAUGCAUCCUAGUUAUUACUAAUUUAAAAGACAUAUAGGAAAUAUACAUUAUAAUAAGAAUACUUUUCUUGUAAAAAAUGUAUUGCCAAACGUUGUAUCAGAGAUGCCAUGUGAAUUAUUAUACAAAUAGAAUGCAGCAGCAGUGAAAAGGAUCUGUUAAAAGKCAAACAUUAUUAUCUUGUAUUAGGAAGAAACCAAAAUAUUGUAAUACAAUGGUAUAAAAUAUUUAUUCAAAACUUUAAAGAACUUAUU